rnacentral:rRNA from 1 species
GUUAAGCGACUAAGCGUACACGGUGGAUGCCCUGGCAGUCAGAGGCGAUGAAGGACGUGCUAAUCUGCGAUAAGCGUCGGUAAGGUGAUAUGAACCGUUAUAACCGGCGAUUUCCGAAUGGGGAAACCCAGUGUGUUUCGACACACUAUCAUUAACUGAAUCCAUAGGUUAAUGAGGCGAACCGGGGGAACUGAAACAUCUAAGUACCCCGAGGAAAAGAAAUCAACCGAGAUUC